GACGAACCGUGCGAACGUUCUUCGGAAUCCUUGGGCUUAAAGGGUGCGUAGGCUGGCUCGUGAGUCAGGGGUGAAAUCCCACGGCCCAACCGUGGAAGUGCCUCUGAUACCGCGGGCCUCGAGGGGGAUAGGGGCGUGCGGAACUUCCGGUGGAGCGGUGAAAUGCGUAGAUAUCGGGAGGAACACCGGUGGCGAAAGCGGCGCGCUGGAUCCCUACUGACGCUGAGGCACGAAAGCCAGGGGAGCAAACGGG
rnacentral:rRNA from 1 species